rnacentral:rRNA from 1 species
ACAUGCAGUCGAAUGAAGCACUUUAUUUGAUUUCCUUCGGGACUGAUUAUUUUGUGACUGAGUGGCGGACGGGUGAGUAACGCGUGGGUAACCUGCCUUGUACAGGGGGAUAACAGUUGGAAACGGCUGCUAAUACCGCAUAAGCGCACAGUAUCGCAUGAUGCAGUGUGAAAAACUCCGGUGGUAUAAGAUGGACCCGCGUUGGAUUAGCUAGUUGGUGAGGUAACGGCUCACCAAGGCGACGAUCCAUAGCCGACCUGAGAGGGUGACCGGCCACAUUGGGACUGAGACACGGCCCAAACUCCUACGGGAGGCAGCAGUGGGGAAUAUUGCACAAUGGGCGAAAGCCUGAUGCAGCGACGCCGCGUGAGCGAAGAAGUAUUUCGGUAUGUAAAGCUCUAUCAGCAGGGAAGAUAAUGACGGUACCUGACUAAGAAGCACCGGCUAAAUACGUGCCAGCAGCCGCGGUAAUACGUAUGGUGCAAGCGUUAUCCGGAUUUACUGGGUGUAAAGGGAGCGCAGGCGGUGCGGCAAGUCUGAUGUGAAAGCCCGGGGCUCAACCCCGGUACUGCAUUGGAAACUGU